GAGUGAAUUCAGAUGGAGUCCUUGGAAAGAUGAUACCCCAAAUUAUUAUUUUCGAAUAUAAAGACUACGCUGUAUCAACAAAAAAAAGGAUUGCAACCUGCAGAACAUGCGGGAAGAAAAUGACAGACGGAGGCGCACCAACUUCGUUCAACAUUUGAAGCUGCACAAAGAACGGUCUCGGCGGGGUCUCCGGCCAGGACUACUUGGGGCUGAUGGGGAGUUUGUGAAUAAUCAAGGGCUGAUUGCUCACCAGCUGUACAAGUCCCAUAAAGCUGCCAGAAGGGCAACACACAGAAGAGAGAGUGGGGGAAGGACUCCAGUAUUGUUGGGGACGGUUGCAGAGGUAACAGGAGUGAGUUCAGUUUUUGAUCCCCACAGGAUCCAGCAAGACCGGGAGCCCAGAAGACGGUGUCCCGGAGAGGGUCUCAUGGGGGAUACCUAUUCUUUUCUUUUGAACUAUUAUUUUAAUAAACACCUCAGAUCUGA